UUCCAGCUCCAAUAGCGUAUAUUAAAAUUGUUGCAGUUAAAACGUUCGUAGUUGAAUAUUAAAGAAUCCGAUGUUUCAUUUAAACUGGUUUGAAAAAACUAUGUAUAUAUUUUGCUUUUUGCUUAAUAUGUUUUUUCUAUAAAUUAUGUUUUUAUCAGAUAUGACAGAGUCUUUUUUAAAAUCUUUUCAUUUAGCUUUUUUUAGCUUUUGGGAGAUCUUGUUACUUUGAGUAAAAUAAAGUGUUCAUAACAGACGGCUAUACAAUAGAUUGAGUUCAUUGUGUUUGAAUACUACAGCAUGGAAUAACAAAUAUGAAUAAGCUAAUCUUUUUUUUUUGAUUAUUUUUUUUGAUAUUCUUAUUAGCUUAGUUACGAUUAAUAGGAGUAGCUUUGGGGACAUUCGUAUUCAGAUGUC
rnacentral:rRNA from 1 species